rnacentral:rRNA from 1 species
CCUACGGGAGGCAGCAGUGGGGAAUAUUGCACAAUGGGGGAAACCCUGAUGCAGCGACGCCGCGUGGGCGAAGAAGUAUUUCGGUAUGUAAAGCUCUAUCAGCAGGGAAGAAGAAAUGACGGUACCUGAGCAAGAAGCACACGCCAAAUACGAGCCAGCAGCCGCGGUAAUACGUAUGGUGCAAGCGUGAUCCGGAUUUACGGGGUGUAAAGGGAGGGCAGGCGGCAAGGCAAGCCUGAUGUGAAAGACCGCGGCCCAACCGCGGGACUGCAUUGGGAACUACCGGGCUGGAGUGCCGGAGAGGUAGGCGGAAUUCCUGGUGGAGCGGUGAAAUGCAUAGAUAUUAGGAGGAACACCAGUGGCGAAGGCGGCCUACUGGACGGUGACUGACGCUGAGGCUCGAAAGCGUGGGGAGCAAACAGGAUUAGAUACCCCUGUAGUC